rnacentral:rRNA from 1 species
GGAAUUUUCCGCAAUGGGCGAAAGCCUGACGGAGCAAUACCGCGUGAGGGAUGACGGCCUGUGGGUUGUAAACCUCUUUUCUCAAGGAAGAAGUUCUGACGGUACUUGAGGAAUAAGCAUCGGCUAACUCUGUGCCAGCAGCCGCGGUAAUACAGAGGAUGCAAGCGUUAUCCGGAAUCACUGGGCAUAAAGCGUCUGUAGGUGGUUUGGCAAGUCUGCUGUUAAAGACUGGGGCUCAACCCCAGAAAAGCAGUGGAAACUGCCAGACUUGAGUGUGGUAGAGGUAGAGGGAAUUCCUAGUGUAGCGGUGAAAUGCGUAGAUAUUAGGAAGAACACCAAUGGCGAAGGCACUCUACUGGGCCAUAACUGACACUGAGAGACGACAGCUAGGGGAGCAAAUGGGAUUAGAUACCCCUGUAGUC